AGAACUCCAGGCCCACCCAUCCUCUCAUUACAAUUCACUAAUCGGAGACCGUGGGAAGGAAGAAGUCUAUCUUCGGUGAGUCAUGUUUCAGCAAGAAAGCUCUCUGCAAGAGUUUGACAGAUGACGUCUUCUCUUGACCCUUCAUGAUGUUCUGCUGUCCCAGGGAAAGAAUUUCCAGUACAUCCUGUAAUAACACUGCCUCAACCAACCAGUGAACAGCUAUAUCAAGGGAAGGGGUGUGCUACCUAUAGAAAAGGUUAUUUUGCAAUGGUUUUGUGAUGAUGUAGUUAUACCUGUUCUAUGAAAUGCCUGUCUAGCUAUGAUUCUGGUAACUUGUUCUCAAGUUGGCAUGAUGGUAGAAGUAGCAUUAUUGGACAGACACUACUGCUGCUGGUUUUAACUCUGGGAGAACUUUAUCCAAAUUUCCUGUUCACUUCC